UAGUAGAACAGUGGAAAAAGGCCAGUGAUCCCCAAGAUGCUGCAGUUUUGUUUAAGAGGCAUCUCUUAAAGGAAAAGGAGGAGAACCCCAAAAUCACAGCUAUCAUUGACAUUCGAUGAGAUCAAACAUCCCAGAGCCGAGAGAUCAUUGCUUUCUACAAAAGACCACAGAUUGAUUGGGCAGGACCUUUUCGUUGUUCUUUACAAGGUGACACAGCUGUUGGCACUGGGGUCCAGAGACAUUUUUUCAGCAUGGCAAUGCUAAAGUUGCAACAUGGCUUUAACAUCCAUAGCGGUGCAGCCAACAUGACCCUUCUCUUUGAGGGACAAGAGAACCAUCUAGUGCCUUCUACUUCUCAGAUUUUGGCAGACAGUGACUUAUUUGUGGUAGCAGGCAGAAUGAUUGGGCAUUCAUUUUUGAACGAUGGGCCACGAU